UGUCUAUGAAUCAAGUUUAUUAAAUGAAGUUAAUCAAAAUGGUUGCAUUAUUGCAUAUAUCAAUACAAUCUUUCUCAUCUUGGACAUCCCAUUGUACCCAUCUGUGAAGUUAUCACAACAAUGCAUAACAUGUUUGUGUUGUAUUGUGUUGUUUGUUGUAUUAAGUGGUUUACCUAAUGAAUCCACUUGUCAAAAGAGAUGUAGCACUUUUCGAAGAAGCCUAUUGAUAUAUUUUAUGCUUGACGUUUCAAAUCCGUUUGGUUUAAAUUAAUUUUUCAACAAAUUAAACACAUAAAUUAAAAAUAAAACACACGUUCUUGAUUUGUGUCUUUAUACAGAAAAAAAUACUUAUUGACCCCUGCAGUUUUUUCAAGGAGGUAUCAUUGAGGUCAAAAAUAGAUCAAACAAGAAAAAAACAUUCCAAUUGUUGCAUACAGAACGCAAACAUUAACAUAUAAAUUAAAAUGUAACUUUUGCCGUAAAGAUGCAAUUGCUGCUAAAUUCAUGUCCGCCAAUUUGACUCAAUUUCUCAUAUUUAUUUUCUAACAAUGUAUAUGCACACGAUAAAUGAGGUGAAUACAUGUGUUCAUUGAAACUAAAUUCUUGUCAAAACGAUUUAUGUUAAUAUUUUGGAGCGUUUCAUUUUCAUAAGACUCGUCGACGGGCUUUAGUCAAAACGGUUCGAAAAACAAAGUCAAAUUCGACGCUUAAGAUAAUAAAAUACUAAUUCAGAAUUUACGGUUAAAACUAUAUACCCUUUCGGGGUAGAAACACAAAUAGUUCUAUCAACUAAAAAUUUACAAAAUUAAAGUAAUAUCGAUUUAUAUUUUAUAUUUUCACAAGUAUUAGUGAUACCGUCUUAAAGAAAUUUCCACUGGCAGU
rnacentral:lncRNA from 1 species